GCUCGUGGAUCGAUGAAGACCGCAGCUAAAUGCGCGUCAGAAUGUGAACUGCAGGACACAUGAACACCGACAAGUUGAACGCAUAUUGCACAUCGUACAACACCGUACGAUGUACACAUUUUUGAGUGCCUAUAUUUAUCUAUUCAACUAUACGUGUGCCACCCACCCGGUGCGCGCGUAUGCGUAGUGAUGUUUGCCCGCCUUCGGUGGCGGUUUAAGAUAGUCAAGCGUGCGACGGUCAUAGUUGCGCGAUUGAUGAAUACAUCCCACCAGACGUCCGCAUCCCGUGGCGCUAGUGUUGUAUUCCAUCAGAGGGAGAGAGAGAGACAGUAUAGCAUAUCUAGUAGGCCUCAAAUAAUGUGUGACUACCCCCUAAAUUUAAGCA
rnacentral:rRNA from 1 species